rnacentral:lncRNA from 1 species
CAGGCUUCACCUUUUAUUUUCUUUUUCUUUACAACCGAUUUGCUCCUUCUCAACCUUUUCUUUUCUUUUUGUAUCAUUAUAGCUCCAAAUUUUUGUUGUUUGAUCGAAUCCAAAAUAUUAAUCUCAGCUUCGCACAAAAACUGUAAGUCAAAUACCUUUCUAUCAGCAGUUUAUUUCUUUAUCGUUUUCGUUGAAUUUUGCUGCUCGUUUAGUUAUUUUUUCAGUCGAAUCUGUGAUGAGUUAUGAAUAUCGGAUAUAUGUUAUCAUUAUCUUUAUUUCUCGUUGUAGUUCCUUGAAUUUUUUUUUAUUUUGUUGAAACCAAAUGAAAAGAAUCAAUGGAGGGGCUGAUAAAAUACCCUAAAAUUGAACCAGAAGACAACCAGUUUCAAUUCUUAUCUUCCCAAGUAAUUCUUAUUAUUUUUUCUUUCUCGU